rnacentral:sRNA from 1 species
GUUUUGCGUGAGUGAUGGUAGUGGAGCUCUUUUUUAAGAGGCGUUUCAGCCUGUAAAAAAAGCGGGAACGUACAGCACGACCUGAA